AAGGGAGACCUAAUUCCCGUAGGAGACGAAAAAAAAGUAGUCCCAACCAAGAAUCAAUCCCAAAAGGUCGGAACGAGGUAUGAGGCUUUCAAACUAGGUUCUGGGUUCAUAAAAGACCUGAAUCAGGAACAAGGGCUAUUAGCUCAGGUGGUUAGAGCGCACCCCUGAUAAGGGUGAGGUCCCUGGUUCGAGUCCAGGAUGGCCCACCUGCACAGGUGGCAAAAACAAGAGAAGCUCCGAAUCAGCACCUUAUCUUAUAUACAUAUAUAAGAGAGAAUGAUGGCUCUGAGUACAGAGUCCAGAGGAACCUUGAAAACUGCAUAGAGCUAGGUGAAAAAGCCAAAAAAGAAGACCGCAA
rnacentral:tRNA from 1 species